rnacentral:rRNA from 1 species
AUUGAACGCUGGCGGAAUGCUUUACACAUGCAAGUCGAGCGGCAGCACGGGGGCAACCCUGGCGGCGAGCGGCGAACGGGUGAGUAAUACAUCGGAACAUGCCCAGUCGUGGGGGAUAACACUUCGAAAGAAGUGCUAAUACCGCAUACGUCCUGAGGGGGAAAGCGGGGGAUCGCAAGACCUCGCGCGAUUGGAGUGGCCGAUGUCAGAUUAGCUAGUUGGUGGGGUAAAGGCCUACCAAGGCAACGAUCUGUAGCUGGUCUGAGAGGAUGAUCAGCCACACUGGGACUGGGACACGGCCCAGACUCCUACGGGAGGCAGCAGUGGGGAAUUUUGGACAAUGGGGGCAACCCCGAUCCAGCCAUUCCGCGUGAGUGAAGAAGGCCUUCGGGUUGUAAAGCUCUUUCGGCAGGAACGAAACGGUGAGCUCUAACAUAGCUUGCUAAUGACGGUACCUGAAGAAGAAGCACCGGCUAACUACGUG